AUGAAGAUCACGGUGCAGUCAUCCAAGUCCAUCAAGCCUGACUAUGGCGCCCACCGCCCGGCGGCUCCUCCGUUCACGGCGAACGUCGUCCCGCUCUCAGUGUUCGACAAGGCCAACUUGGACACGCAGGUCUCCGUCCUCUACGCCUUCCACCCGCCGGCCCCGCCGAACGGCGUCCUCGAGGCCGGGCUCGCCAGGGCCCUCGUCGACUACCGCGAGUUCGCCGGGCGUCUCGCCCGGGACGCCGACGGCAGCCGCCGCGCCAUCCUCCUCAACGACGCCGGCGCGCGGUUCGUCGAGGCGACGGCCGGCGUGGCGCUCGGCAGCGUCAUGCCGCUGCGGCCCACCCCCGCGGUGCUGAGCCUGCACCCGAGCGGCGGCGACGAGCUGAUGCUGGUCCAGGCCACGCGGUUCGCGUGCGGGUCCCUCGUCGUCGGCCUGACCGUGCACCACACCGUCGCCGACGGCCGAGGGUUCUGCAACUUCAUCCUCGCCUGGGGCCAGGCCACGCGCGGCGCCCCCGUCGACCCCGUCCCGGUGCACGACCGGCCGUCCUUCUUCGCGCCGCGCAGCCCUAAGAUCGAGCACGAGCACCGCCGCGUCGAGUUCAAGCCAUACGGCGCCCGCAAGGACGACUACGCCGGCGGUGGCGGCGGCGAGGAGGAGGAGGAGGUGGUGGUAGAGAGGGUGCACUUCAGCGCGGACCGCAUCGCGAAGCUGAAGUCGCAGGCGUCGUCGGCUGGGGCGCGGUACAGCACGGUGCAGUGCGUGCUGGCGCACCUGUGGCGGUGCGUGACGCGGGCGCGCGGGCUGGACGGGCGCGACGCCACCGCCCUGCUCAUCGGAGUGGACGGGCGAAGGCGGAUGAGCCCGCCGGUGCCGGACGGGUACACCGGCAACGUGGUGCUCUGGGCGCGGCCCACGGCCACCGCGCGGGAGCUCAUGGACAUGCCGCUGCGCCACGCAGCGGAGCUCAUCGGCCGGGCGGUUGCACGGGUCGACGACGCCUACUACAAGUCCUUCAUCGACUUCGCCUGCUCCGGGACCGUGGAGGAGGAGCGGCUGGUGCCGACGGCCGACGCGGCGGACACGGUGCUGAGCCCGAACGUCGAGGUGAACAGCUGGGUGCGUCUCCCGUUCUACGACCUGGACCUGGGCGGCGGCCGGCCCUUCCUCUUCAUGCCCAGCUACGUGCCGGUGGAGGGCGUGGCCUUCCUUGUGGCGUCCUUCGCCGGCGACGGCAGCGUGGACGCCUACGUUUCCCUCUUCCGCCGCGACAUGGAUGCCUUCCGGAACUGCUGCGCAUCCGGCCUCUCAAAACUCUAG
rnacentral:rRNA from 1 species